rnacentral:rRNA from 1 species
AGUUAACGCUGGCGGUAGGCCUAACACAUGCAAGUCGAACGGCAGCACAGUAAGAGCUUGCUCUUACGGGUGGCGAGUGGCGGACGGGUGAGGAAUACAUCGGAAUCUACUUUUUCGUGGGGGAUAACGUAGGGAAACUUACGCUAAUACCGCAUACGACCUACGGGUGAAAGCAGGGGAUCUUCGGACCUUGCGCGAUUGAAUGAGCCGAUGUCGGAUUAGCUAGUUGGCGGGGUAAAGGCCCACCAAGGCGACGAUCCGUAGCUGGUCUGAGAGGAUGAUCAGCCACACUGGAACUGAGACACGGUCCAGACUCCUACGGGAGGCAGCAGUGGGGAAUAUUGGACAAAGGGCGCAAGCCUGAUCCAGCCAUACCGCGUGGGUGAAGAAGGCCUUCGGGUUGUAAAGCCCUUUUGUUGGGAAAGAAAAGCAGCAGGUUAAUACCCCGCUGUUCUGACGGUACCCAAAGAAUAAGCACCGGCUAACUUCGUG